GCAAUGGAACAUCUGAGUUUUGUGUAACUGAUGUGAAAGCUGCUGAUUUAGAAUACUGCAGCAAUAAGACUAGAUAUUGCUUUAAAGGAGAAUGCAGAGAUAGGGACAGACAGUGCGCACAGUUAUUUGGAAAAUUUUCUAAGUCUGCUAGUGUUCUGUGUACAGAAAAAGUGAAUUUUCUAAAUGACAAAUUUGGAAACUGUGGUUCCCGUUGUCAUUUUUAUGAUAUUCUUUGUGGAAAGAUUGUCACUGGACACAUUCAGAAACAGUAUCAAUGACAGACUUUGAUAUACAAUAUACUUACCUUGGGGGUCAUGUAUGUUUGUCUGCACAUGCAAGAAAUGGUUCAAAAUAAUGGGGGACCUAUGCAGAAGCUACAAGUGCAUGUGGUCAACACAGGUUAUGUAGAUUCCAAGGAUGCAAAUAUCUUAGUGACAUAAAUAUAACAAGAUAUAACAUAAAUUGCAGAGAGAAUAGGGCUUGCAAUGAACUUUUCCAUUGUCAGUGUGAUCCUGGUUAUGCUCCUCCAGAUUGUGAGCCGCCAAUAUCAUCACCAGGAGGAAGUGUUAAUGAUGGAUUUUAGCUUACGGUAGAAAAAAGUGUACCUUGUUUCCAAAACGACGUGCUGCUCCUAAAAACAAUGGUCUUUUGAUCAGUUUCUACAUUUCUUUUUUACCUUUGCUCAUUUUAAUUGCUAUUGUUAGUCUUAAAUGGAAUAAAAUGAAGAGAUUUUGGAGCAAAGCGGGAACAGUAAGCAGCAUAUCUAUCUCAGAAGACAGCAGCAGGAACAACAACGAGUCACAGAGUUAAAGUAGCCCAAGUGAUAACUUCGAAGCCAUAGGGUGGAGAAAGGAUAUUACCAAGAAACUCACCAUUAACUGGCCUGAUCUAACAAUGAAAAAAAAAAAGUUUUCUCUCAUUUUGUUAUGGCUUAAAGCUU